CCUACGGGGGGCUGCAGUGGGGAAUAUUGGACAAUGGGGGCAACCCUGAUCCAGCCAUGCCGCGUGUGUGAAGAAGGCCCUCGGGUUGUAAAGCACUUUCAGUGAGGAAGAACGCCUGGUGGUUAAUACCCAUCAGGAAAGACAUCACUCACAGAAGAAGCACCGGCUAACUCCGUGCCAGCAGCCGCGGUAAUACGGAGGGUACGAGCGUUAAUCGGAAUUACUGGGCGUAAAGCGCGCGUAGGUGGCUUGAUAAGCCGGUUGUGAAAGCCCCGGGCUCAACCUGGGAACGGCAUCCGGAACUGUCAAGCUAGAGUGCAGGAGAGGAAGGUAGAAUUCCCGGUGUAGCGGUGAAAUGCGUAGAGAUCGGGAGGAAUACCAGUGGCGAAGGCGGCCUUCUGGACUGACACUGACACUGAGGUGCGAAAGCGUGGGUAGCAAACAGGAUUAGAUACCCUAGUAGUC
rnacentral:rRNA from 1 species